rnacentral:rRNA from 1 species
GGUGGUGCAGGAACAAGGACUGGGCAAGACCGGUGCCAGCCGCCGCGGUAAUACCGGCAGUCCAAGUGAUGGCCGAUAUUAUUGGGCCUAAAGCGUCCGUAGCUGCUGUGUAAGUCCAUUGGGAAAUCGACCAGCUCAACUGGUCGCCGUCCGGUGGAAACUGCACAGCUUGGGGCCGAGAGACUCGACGGGUACGUCCGGGGUAGGAGUGAAAUCCUGUAAUCCUGAACGGACCACCAAUGGCGAAAGCACGUCGAGAGACCGGACCCGACGGUGAGGGACGAAAGCCAGGGUCUCGAACCGGAUUAGAUACCCGGGUAGUCCUGGCUGUAAACAAUGCUCGCUAGGUAUGUCACGCGCCAUGAGCACGCGAUGUGCCGUAGUGAAGACGAUAAGCGAGCCGCCUGGGAAGUACGUCCGCAAGGAUGAAACUUAAAGGAAUUGGCGGGGGAGCACCACAACCGGAGGAGCCUGCGGUUUAAUUGGACUCAACGCCGGACAUCUCACCGGUCCCGACAGUAGUAAUGACGGUCAGGUUGACGACUUUACCCGACGCUACUGAGAGGAGGUGCAUGGCCGCCGUCAGCUCGUACCGUGAGGCGUCCUGUUAAGUCAGGCAACGAGCGAGACCCGCAUCCGUAGUUGCCAGCAAUACCCACGUGGUAGUUGGGUACACUACGGAGACUGCCGCUGCUAAAGCGGAGGAAGGAACGGGCAACGGUAGGUCAGUAUGCCCCGAAUGGACCGGGCAACACGCGGGCUACAAUGGCUCUGACAAAGGGAUGCGACGCCGAGAGGCGAAGCUAAUCUCGAAACGGAGUCGUAGUUCGGAUUGCGGGCUGAAACUCGCCCGCAUGAAGCUGGAUUCGGUAGUAAUCGCGUGUCAGAAGCGCGCGGUGAAUUCGUCCCUGCUCCUUGCACACACCGCCCGUCAAAGCACCCGAGUGAGGUCCGGAUGAGGCCAGCAUGCGCUGGUCGAAU